rnacentral:misc_RNA from 1 species
GUUCGUUGUGCGAUAGAUAUCGUCGAGAUAGAACGUUUCAGACUUUAGAGAGGAAUGAAACGUUUCGAUUGGGGAAUUAUCAGCUG